rnacentral:rRNA from 1 species
AACGAACGCUGGCGGCGUGGAUAAGACAUGCAAGUCGAACGAGAGAAUUGCUAGCUUGCUAAUAAUUCUCUAGUGGCGCACGGGUGAGUAACACGUGAGUAACCUGCCCCCGAGAGCGGGAUAGCCCUGGGAAACUGGGAUUAAUACCGCAUAGUAUCGAAAGAUUAAAGCAGCAAUGCGCUUGGGGAUGGGCUCGCGGCCUAUUAGUUAGUUGGUGAGGUAACGGCUCACCAAGGCGAUGACGGGUAGCCGGUCUGAGAGGAUGUCCGGCCACACUGGAACUGAGACACGGUCCAGACACCUACGGGUGGCAGCAGUCGAGAAUCAUUCACAAUGGGGGAAACCCUGAUGGUGCGACGCCGCGUGGGGGAAUGAAGGUCUUCGGAUUGUAAACCCCUGUCAUGUGGGAGCAAAUUAAAAAGAUAGUACCACAAGAGGAAGAGACGGCUAACUCUGUGCCAGCAGCCGCGGUAAUACAGAGGUCUCAAGCGUUGUUCGGAAUCACUGGGCGUAAAGCGUGCGUAGGCUGUUUCGUAAGUCGUGUGUGAAAGGCGCGGGCUCAACCCGCGGACGGCACAUGAUACUGCGAGACUAGAGUAAUGGAGGGGGAACCGGAAUUCUCGGUGUAGCAGUGAAAUGCGUAGAUAUCGAGAGGAACACUCGUGGCGAAGGCGGGUUCCUGGACAUUAACUGACGCUGAGGCACGAAGGCCAGGGGAGCGAAAGGGAUUUAGAUACCCCUGUAGUCCUGGCAGUAAACGGUGCACGCUUGGUGUGCGGGGAAUCGACCCCCUGCGUGCCGGAGCUAACGCGUUAAGCGUGCCGCCUGGGGAGUACGGUCGCAAGAUUAAAACUCAAAGAAAUUGACGGGGACCCGCACAAGCGGUGGAGUAUGUGGCUUAAUUCGAUGCAACGCGAAGAACCUUACCUGGGCUUGACAUGUAAUGAACAACAUGUGAAAGCAUGCGACUCUUCGGAGGCGUUACACAGGUGCUGCAUGGCCGUCGUCAGCUCGUGUCGUGAGAUGUUUGGUUAAGUCCAGCAACGAGCGCAACCCCUGUUGCCAGUUACCAGCACGUGAAGGUGGGGACUCUGGCGAGACUGCCCAGAUCAACUGGGAGGAAGGUGGGGACGACGUCAGGUCAGUAUGGCCCUUAUGCCCAGGGCUGCACACGUACUACAAUGCCCAGUACAGAGGGGGCCGAAGCCGCGAGGCGGAGGAAAUCCUGAAAACUGGGCCCAGUUCGGACUGUAGGCUGCAACCCGCCUACACGAAGCCGGAAUCGCUAGUAAUGGCGCAUCAGCUACGGCGCCGUGAAUACGUUCCCGGGUCUUGUAC